rnacentral:lncRNA from 1 species
AUACCAAUGGACUUCACUACGUAGACCACAAACAACCUCCUCCUGUUCUUUAUAAGGUGACCGUCAUGGCAGUUUGGGGAAAAGCUCUUCUCACAACUAUUGAAAUCAACAAGCACCAGCAGAAACUUUACGCUCCUACUAACAAAAUUGAACCAGAAGUGAAGGAGUUAAUUGAAAGGGAGAUGUCCGUGUGCGUAAGGAACGCUUGGCAAAGUUAAUGUUCAUCGGUUAAGUUUGUCUGAUCUUGUGCAUAGUAACUCGCAUAUAAGACCAAUCUGCAGCAAAUGUAACACAUCUCUUGCAAAAGGAGUGAAAUGGUGGUCAUGGAAAAUACAUGCCACAUAGUUGUACUUAUAUUUACUGAUAUACAUGCAAGAAAAUCAUUACAACGGCAUUCUUGCAAAAUAAACACUUAAGAAAUCUACGUGAGAAAACUAACAAGCACUAUUUUAAUCUGACAAAAUAUUCUACUAACUUUCUAUCUGUGUUCUAGCAAUAAAUAUCGUUUUUCUU